rnacentral:rRNA from 1 species
UCAUCUUCGGGGGUAGAGCACUGUUUCGGCUAGGGGGCCAUCCCGGCUUACCAACCCGAUGCAAACUACGAAUACCGAAGAAUGUUAUCACGGGAGACACACGGCGGGUGCUAACGUCCGUCGUGAAGAGGGAAACAACCCAGACCGCCAGCUAAGGUCCCAAAGUCAUGGUUAAGUGGGAAACGAUGUGGGAAGGCACAGACAGCCAGGAUGUUGGCUUAGAAGCAGCCAUCAUUUAAAGAAAGCGUAAUAGCUCACUGGUCGAGUCGGCCUGCGCGGAAGAUGUAACGGGGCUAAACCAUGCACCGAAGCUGCGGCAGCGACACUUAUGUGUUGUUGGGUAGGGGAGCGUUCUGUAAGCCGUUGAAGGUGUGCUGUGAGGCAUGCUGGAGGUAUCAGAAGUGCGAAUGCUGACAUAAGUAACGAUAAAGCGGGUGAAAAGCCCGCUCGCCGGAAGACCAAGGGUUCCUGUCCAACGUUAAUCGGGGCAGGGUGAGUCGACCCCUAAGGCGAGGCCGAAAGGCGUAGUCGAUGGGAAACAGGUUAAUAUUCCUGUACUUGGUGUUACUGCGAAGGGGGGACGGAGAAGGCUAUGUCAGCCGGGCGACGGUUGUCCCGGUUUAAGCAUGUAGGCGGAGGUUCCAGGUAAAUCCGGUACCUU